GUGUCCUUUUAAGGCUGAUGUGGUACUUUAAGAGGCCUAUUUUUACCACAGAAGGGUAAAAUAAGUCUCCAUAAAACCCAGAGAAGAGAUUUUAAGACUCCUCUUUAGAUCCUCUCUGGUGUUAUUAUA
rnacentral:snoRNA from 1 species